AUUGAACGCUGGCGGCAGGCCUAACACAUGCAAGUCGAACGAGUGGCGGACGGGAGAGUAAUGUCUGGGACACUGCCCGAUGGAGGGGGGUAACUACUGGAAACGGUAGCUAAUACCGCAUACCAUCGGAUGUGCCCAGCUGGGAUUAGCUAGUAGGUGGGGUAACGGCUCACCUAGGCGACGAUCCCUAGCUGGUCUGAGAGGAUGACCAGCCACACUGGAACUGAGACACGGUCCAGACUCCUACGGGAGGCAGCAGUGGGGAAUAUUGCACAAUGGGCGCAAGCCUGAUGCAGCCAUGCCGCGUGUAUGAAGAAGGCCUUCGGGUUGUAAAGUACUUUCAUCGAGGAGGCGUUACUCGCAGAGGAAGCAACGGCUAACUCCGUGCCAGCCGCCGCGGUAAUUC
rnacentral:rRNA from 1 species